AACGAACGCUGGCGGCAGGCUUAACACAUGCAAGUCGAACGCGUGUAGCAAUACACGAGUGGCGCACGGGUGAGUAACGCGUGGAUAUCUGCCUUUUGGUUCGGAAUAACUCCGGGAAACUGGAGCUAAUACCGGAUGGUUCCUACGGGAUAAAGAUUUAUCGCCAAAAGAUGAGUCCGCGUACGAUUAGCUAGUUGGUGAGGUAAUGGCUCACCAAGGCGACGAUCGUUAGCUGGUCUGAGAGGACGAUCAGCCACACUGGGACUGAGACACGGCCCAGACUCCUACGGGAGGCAGCAGUGGGGAAUAUUGGACAAUGGGGGCAACCCUGAUCCAGCCAUGCCGCGUGAGUGAUGAAGGCCUCGGUUGUAAGCUCUUUGGUCGGGGACGGAUGAUGACGGUACCCGCAGAAUAAGCCCGGCUAACUUCGUGCCAGCAGCCG
rnacentral:rRNA from 1 species